rnacentral:SRP_RNA from 1 species
GCCGGGCGUGGUGGUGCACGCCUGUAAUACCAGCUACUGGGUAGGCUGAGGCAUGGGAAUCGCUUGCACCUGGGAGGUGGAAGUUGCAGUGAGCCAAGAUCCUGUGACUGCACUCCAGCCCGGGUGACAGAGCCAGACUCUGUCUCAA